GGAAAAUUUCGAAAAUAAGCUGGGCUGGGCAAGCAAGUUUCCAGUGACCGCAAACCAGAUGGGUGGCAGUACCAACAGAGGUAGAAAUGAUGUAGCUGGCCAGACCUUCCAAGGAGAAUGGCUGUACCCACCAAAUCCCAAGUACAUUAAUUACAGCUUAUCAGAUGGUUGACAUGGCCAACAGAGGAAGAAAUGAGGUAGCGGGACCUUCCUACCAAAUUCCCAAUGCAAAUCAGGUGGGUGCAUGACGGCGCCAUCAAAGGAAGAAAUGACAUUUCUCAAGCAAGUUCUGUGGAGAUUCUGGCGAGAUUCGCUCUUCAUGUCAUGGAUGCUAUGCUCUCUGCUUUACUCAUUGGGACCAGAGUUCACAUUGCGAGGAUGACAUGUAAAGUGGAAAUCGCAAAUUGAGAGGCCUCCACUGCUCAAAGGUGAGUUGCACACACAUGACUAUCAGGAAUGUGUAUUACAACAUUAGAAGUCUGAGAUUAAAAAAGUAGUGGUUGGCCCGUCAUCUGACCAGCAAAAAGUCAGCCAAAAUGCUGGAAGUAGUAGGAAAAAUCACACCGUGUCUUACUUCUUGCCUUCACCUGCAUGUGCUGGAGAACAAGGUAAAGUAUGCCAAAUACUUAUGCUAUCUCAGAAAGGCAAGUGGUGGCAGUCUUGGAGAAAAUGGCUAAUGUGUGCAGGAUCCACAGCAGAGAAAGUAACUGGAAGAACACCUCAAAUGCUUCCUUAGUGUCCCAUCCUCUGAUUGCUGUACAUCAUCUUCUGCCAUUGAUGUUGCUCCUGAGCUGACCUAGAAAAAGAUACAUGCAGGGUUUGUGAAUGAGAUUGAUAGGGUGAUCAAAGAGCUAAAUCAUAAAACCCACUGGCCAAGAAGGACAUCUGUGAAAUGUGUGAAAUUUUCUCCCCAAAAUUAUACGGCUUGUACCAAAAUAGAAAAAAGUGCAUGCGAUAUAAAGUAAAUGCAAAGUGCUUGCCCUUCAGCAACUAGCGACGCACUGUGCAGCUAUUUUUUUACCUCCACUAUGUUUUAAUGAUAAUAUUUUGCUUUUAUAUAGCGCGUAAUACAUCAAAACGACAUGUCUAAGUGCUUAACAGAUAUAUUAUUACCCUGGUUAUCGGAUUCAAUCAGUCAAUCCUGCACACAAUAUGC